rnacentral:tRNA from 1 species
UGCAUCGGCCGGGAAUCAAACCCAGGCCGCCCGCGUGGCAGGCGAGCAUUCUACCACUGAAAUAAAACAACACAAAGC